UACGGAGGGAGCUAGCGUUGUUCGGAAUUACUGGGCGUAAAGCGCGCGUAGGCGGCUUUGUAAGUUAGAGGUGAAAGCCCGGGGCUCAACCCCGGAAUUGCCUUUAAGACUGCAUCGCUUGAAUCCGGGAGAGGUGAGUGGAAUUCCUGGUGUAGCGGUGAAAUGCGCAGAUAUCAGGAGGAACACCAACGGCGAAGGCAGCUCUCUGGGACGUUACUGACGCUGAGACGCGAAAGCGUGGGGAGCAAACAGG
rnacentral:rRNA from 1 species